GUGACAAACAUACAAAAAACACAUCCAUUAUUUAAAAUUAUUAACCACUCAUUCAUUGACUUACCCGCCCCAUCCAAUAUUUCAUCAUGAUGAAACUUUGGGUCCCUCCUAGGAAUCUGCCUAAUAGUCCAGAUCAUUACAGGCCUAUUCUUAGCCAUACACUAUACAUCAGACACAAUAACAGCCUUUUCAUCAGUAACACACAUCUGCCGAGACGUAAAUUACGGGUGACUAAUCCGAUAUAUACACGCAAAUGGAGCCUCAAUAUUUUUUAUUUGCUUAUUCCUUCAUGUCGGACGAGGAAUAUACUAUGGAUCCUAUACAUUCAUAGAAACAUGAAACAUUGGAGUACUUCUACUAUUCGCAGUUAUAGCCACAGCAUUUAUAGGCUAUGUUCUUCCAUGAGGACAAAUAUCAUUCUGGGGAGCUACAGUUAUUACAAACCUCCUAUAAGCUAUUCCAUACAUUGGAACAACCCUAGUCGAAUGAAUUUGAGGAGGCUUCUCAGUAGACAAAGCUACCCUAACCCGAUUCUUCGCCUUCCACUUCAUCUUACCAUUUAUCAUUGCAGCCCUAGCAAUCGUUCACCUUCUCUUCCUCCAUGAAACAGGAUCAAAUAACCCAACAGGACUAAACUCAGAUGCAAAUAAAAUCCCAUUUCACCCCUACUACACAUUCAAAGAUAUCCUAGGUAUCCUAAUUAUAUUUUUACUUCUCAUAACUCUAGUAUUAUUUUUCUCAGACAUACUAGGAGACCCAGACAACUAUAUACCAGCCAACCCACUAAACACCCCACCACAUAUUAAACCUGAAUGAUAUUUCCUAUUUGCAUACGCUAUUCUACGCUCAAUCCCUAACAAAAUAGGAGGGGUUCUAGCCCUAAUGUUAUCUAUCCUAAUUUUAGCCCUAAUACCUUUCCUUCACACUUCAAAGCAACGAAGCCUAAUAUUCCGCCCAAUCACACAAAUCUUGUACUGAAUCCUAGUAGCUAACCUACUGAUCUUAACUUGAAUUGGAAGUCAACCAGUAGAACACCCAUUUAUUAUCAUUGGCCAAUUAGCCUCCAUCUCAUACUUCUCAAUCAUCUUAAUUCUCAUGUCAAUCUCAGGAAUUAUUGAAGACAAAAUAUUAAAAUUAUAUCCA
rnacentral:lncRNA from 1 species